rnacentral:rRNA from 1 species
GACGUAGGGGGCCAGCGUGGCUCGGAAUUACUGGGUGUAAAGGGUUCGUAGGCGGUGUGGCAAGUCGGGAGUGAAAUCUCUGAGCUUAACUCAGGACCUGCUUCCGAAACUGCUGUGCUAGAGUGUGGGAGAGGCGCGUGGAAUUGCAGGUGUAGCGGUGAAAUGCGUAGAUAUCUGCAGGAACACCCGUGGCGAAAGCGGCGCGCUGGACCACUACUGACGCUGAGGAACGAAAGCUAGGGGAGCAAACAGG